UACAGAGGUCUCAAGCGUUUGUUCGGAUUCAUUGGGCGUAAAGGGUGCGUAGGUGGCGCCGUAAGUCAGGUGUGAAAUUUCGGAGCUUAACUCCGAAACUGCAUUUGAUACUGCGGUGCUUGAGGACUGGAGAGGAGACUGGAAUUUACGGUGUAGCAGUGAAAUGCGUAGAGAUCGUAAGGAAGACCAGUGGCGAAGGCGGGUCUCUGGACAGUUCCUGACACUGAGGCACGAAGGCCAGGGGAGCAAACGGG
rnacentral:rRNA from 1 species